rnacentral:rRNA from 1 species
GCACAAGCGGUGGAGCAUGUGGUUCAAUUCGACGCAACGCGAAGAACCUUACCUGGGCUCGAAAUGUAGUGGACCGGGGUGGAAACAUCCCUUUUCGCAAGAACUGCUAUAUAGGUGCUGCAUGGCUGUCGUCAGCUCGUGUCGUGAGAUGUUGGGUUAAGUCCCGCAACGAGCGCAACCCUUAUUGCCAGUUGCCAUCAUUCAGUUGGGCACUCUGGCGAAACCGCCCCGGAUAACGGGGAGGAAGGUGGGGAUGACGUCAAGUCCUCAUGGCCUUUAUGUCCAGGGCUACACACGUGCUACAAUGGUCGGUACAAACCGUCGCAAACCUGCGAAGGGGAGCUAAUCGGAAAAAGCCGACCUCAGUUCGGAUUGGAGUCUGCAACUCGACUCCAUGAAGCUGGAAUCGCUAGUAAUCGCGGAUCAGAACGCCGCGGUGAAUACGUUCCCGGGC